GCAUGGUGGUUUAGUGGUUAGAACGUUCGCCUCACAUGUCCGGGGUUCGAUUCCCGUCGUGGCCA